AAGCGCUGACCUAGAUGUUUGCCUAUCGGACAGGUCUAUAGCCAAGGUCCAUGCAACCCUAGCGCGUACCUCCAACGUUCUCUACUUGUUGAAUGAGAGUCGUGGCGGCGAUGUGGUCGUGAAUGGCCAGCAUGUGGGCUCCGUAGCCACCGUCACCUACCAUGAUGCAAUCGAUGGGUUUGUCAAGUUGCGCUUCGGAAAUGUGGAUGCCGAGCUUUGCCUUUUACCCACCAUGACGGGCGAGUAAUGUGGGCGUAGGAACAAGUCGGGUUCAAAGUUCUUAGUUCAAAAUUCAUAAUUUUUCAAAAUUUUUCGUGCACACGAAUUUCUGAGUUACGAUUUUUUUAAAUAAACCAUAAAAUGCUGCUUAA